UACGUAGGGACCAAGCGUUGUUCGGAUUUACUGGGCGUAAAGGGCGCGUAGGCGGCUUAACAAGUCACUUGUGAAUCUCCGGGCUUAACUCGGAACGGCCAAGUGAAACUGUCAAGCUAGAGUGCAGAAGGGGGCAAUCGGAAUUCUUGGUGUAGCGGUGAAAUGCGUAGAUAUCAAGAGGAACACCUGAGGUGAAGACGGGUUGCUGGGCUGACACUGACGCUGAGGCGCGAAAGCCAGGGGAGCAAACGGG
rnacentral:rRNA from 1 species